rnacentral:misc_RNA from 1 species
GAUGAAGAACGCAGCGAAAUGCGAUAAGUAAUGUGAAUUGCAGAAUUCAGUGAAUCAUCGAAUCUUUGAACGCACAUUGCGCCCGCCAGUAUUCUGGCGGGCAUGCCUGUUCGAGCGUCAUUUCAACCCUCAGGCCCCGCCUGGCGUUGGGGAUCGGCGCGGCCCUCUCCGGGCUGCCGGCCCCGAAAACUAGUGGCGGUCUCGCUGUAGUCCUCCUCUGCGCAGUAGCAACGCUCGCACUGGAACUCGGCGCGGCCACGCCGUAAAACACCCCACGUCUGAAAGUUGACCUCGGAUCAGGUAGGAAUACCCGCUGAACUUAAGCAUAUCAAUAAGCGGAGGA